GUGAAAACGAAAGUUGAACAGCAGAUCAAAUCUUCGCGAGUGCAUGUUUCCUGUAAUCAUGUGUUUCAUGCAAAAGCGUUCAUGUUAUAAAUCACAUAUGUGGGAAUUACCUGUAUUUAUUUUCUUUAACUAAUCAGUCUGAAAACGGUGAAGAGAGCGACGAGACCUGAAACACUUCCUGAAAUGGCAGCGAUCUGCAGCUCCAGUCCAGAUGAUCCAGUGAUCCGGAUUCUUCUGAAACGGUUCUGGAGAAAGCUCAUCUGUGGGGGCGAUUCACAAAAGACAAAAGAAGUAAAAUAAAAACAAACAAUGUAGAAACUCAAAGAAGAGACUGGAGAACUGAACUCUGGGAAGGCACUCCCUGUGAAAAACCCGAGUUUAUGAUAUUCACAGAUCACUGGAUUAACUGGGACGUGUGGAGGGAAUUACCACUUGAUUUGGUUGAUUUUGUUUGUUGGAGGCGACGGAGUUUCGGAUGGUUUCCUUCCUGCCCUCUUCUGCUGAAGGAGGAGCCUUUCUUUUGGCUGAACGGCUCAUAAUGAACUAGAUGUUUAUGCCUAGUCCUACAAUACAGCUCUUCAGAAUUCUGCUGUCACUUUUCCAUUUUGCCCAAGGACCCGCUUAAGUGUUAAAACAUGCCUAACAUCAGUGUGAAGUGUGCAGAGAUUGAGACUGACAGAGGGUUUGAGUUCAAGCUUCCCUCUGAUUCACUGAAUCACACACUCAGAGACUGUGAGCAGAGCUGGACGGGCGUCUGAUAGCAGAUCCAUCAGAUCCUCAAACACUGAUUGAUCCUGUGACGGCUGUAAAAUCUGAUCGUCUCGUCACGUCUCGCUGUGUGAAUCUAAAUCAUGAGAUCAUCUGUGAUUCUGCUGAUGGACAUCAUUUCAGUCGUGUGACCGCAUUCAGAGUGAGGAAUGAAACUGCAGCGACUCCAAACUCAGGUGAGUUUCAGCUGAUAAACGUCUGAUUAUUCACUAAUAAAACACUGCAGAUCUGAUCCACUUUCACUCUUUUCUCUCAUAUUGACUCAUUGUGUGUUUUUGAAAGAUCUCCUGAAUGAAGUGAGUCCAGAUCUCCAACAUUCAGUAGAUCACUUCUGGUGGCUUUUGGCUGUUUUCAUCAUUGUUCUUCUCAUCAUCUUCUUGAUCUGUUUGUUGAAGCGUAAAAGCAUUUUCAGAUGUUUUCAGAGGUUCAUCUGUCAGCGUGACGAUGAUGAUUCAGAAAACAGGUGAGUGAUUCCUGAACAACACUGAGAUCAUGGAUUUGAUUCACACAGAAUGAAUGAAUGAAUCAAAUGAGCUGUUUGAAUGCAGUGAGAGUGAUUCAGAUAAAUGAAUAAAUGUAAUGGAGUGAAUCACUUGAACACUGAAGAGGUGAAACAGGCGGAUGCUGUGAUCUGAUGAGAAUGAAUCUUCAUCUGCUGUAAGUGAAUCUUUAUCUCUGUGACUCUUCAUCUGCUGAAUCUGAAUGUGUUUCUCUCAGGGAUCCUGAAGCUGCUGUCCAAAUGAUCUGAUGCUCCUGAUUCACUGAAUCAAUCUCAGUGUGAAUCGACUCACGUCAUUAUUUACUCAAACGUCACUGUGAUCUUUGACAUGAAGAUGAUGAAGGGAGUUUGUGUUCAUUCUGAGCUUCUCAACUCUUAUUUAUUCUCGUUCGUCCUCAACUGUAAUGCAAAUGAAUACAUGAGAUAUAAAACACUGCAAGAUCUUACAAUCAAAAUGUGUGUUUGUUUUGUUCAUCAUUCAUCAAUUUAAUCAUUCAUGAUCAUUCCGUCAUUUACAUCUAUUCAUUCAAUCGUUUAUAUUGUUUUAUGUUUUAGAUUAUUAUUAUUAGGUUGUUCAUCCUGGUGUUUUUUAUGCUUCAUGUAAUGUGUGUCAUCAUGAAUGAGAUGAGGGUGAAUGUCUCCAGCUGCAGGGUUUUAAAGGAUGUCUUGUUAUACAGUAAUAACUCUUGCUGUAGGUUGUACUGAUCAGAUGAAGUCAGACUGAGCAGUGAAACAGACACAACUAAGGUUUUGCAGAGGAGCAGUCAUCUGAGUGUUCAAACUAAAAUCAGGUGGAAAGAACAGCAGGAGAGGAAAAAUAAACAGAUGAAGUAUCAGAUUGGUGAUGUAUGUCUUGUGUAAGCAGAUGCUUGCUGCACAGCAGUCUGUGUUUCCCUACAUAUGACAAACUACUGUGAAACAAUUAUCAUACUCUGAAGGAGCAAAACAGUAGAUAUAAGCUGUAAAUAUGGAAAGCAAUAUGUAAUCAAUGUUUGUACAGAUUGUGUGGAUCUUGCAUCAAAAUAUUAAUAUAAGCACACCUAGUCAUACUUUUGAGAUGGCAUGAUGAUAAUUAACUGGAAUAAUUGAAUUAAAAACAUUAAAUAGUGAGAAGACUGCAGCUGCUUCUGCUGGGAAUGAGAGUGAAGGUGAGCCUUGGGUAGUCGAAGAAUUGAACAAUUCAUACACAAAUAUGAUUCAGAGUUCUGCAUUAACAUGCAUGUGAUACUGUACUAUACUGUACUAUACUGCAAGAUAUAUACCUGCUUUUUAGUUUAAUACACCCCUGCCUUGGUGAAACACAGUAACUGACUUAAAUAUAAAGCACUGUAUAAAUAAAGGUGAAUUGAC
ensembl:lncRNA